rnacentral:tRNA from 1 species
GGAUCUAUAGCAUAGUCAGGUUAAUGCAUCGGACUCUUAAUCCGAGUAUCAUGGGUUCGAACCCCAUUAGAUCCG